AAUUUUUUAACAUUUAAGAAUAAUUUUUUAUAUAAAAAAGUUUUGCAAAUUGUAUCAUUCUCUAAUACAUUUAUAUCUAUAGUUUAAUUUUAUAUAUAGUAACAUUAUACAUACCACAUAACAUUUUUGGUUUUAUAUAAUUUUUUCUAAAUUAGGAUGAUUUGAUAUGUUUAAUAUUAGUGGUCUUAAAAAAUAAUAAAUUAAAGAUUUAACCCGUAUUGAAACGGUGGAUUAAUUAUAUUUUAUUUUUUUAUUAAUGUUGAUUCAAAAACCCGUCCCUCCAAAUCCGUCUUGCCAAAAAGCUAUUUAUUUUGUUAAUAUUAAUUUUAUUAAUGAUAUGACUCUGAAUUAGAAUCUAAACAUUUUAGCUAAUAACAUAGGAGUGCACCAUAUUUAAUUUAUAGGAGAAUGUACCAUAUGACCCGAAUGCACUUUUAUCCAAAUCCACCAAAAAAGUCUUGCAAAAAUACUAUAGAGAUAAGAAACGAUAGUCGGUUUUGAUAGGUAUAAGAUUAGCAAAUAUAUUAGUUAGCUUAAAUUAGUUAAAGAAUACAAAUUGAAAAGGUAUAUUACACUUUAUUCGAAUAUAGUAUCAAAACUUAUAUAACACAGAGAUUUGAUAAUUUUUUAAUUGAUGAAUACUUUUUUUGUGCUAAUUUUUAUGUGAUUAAGAUUUAAUUGAUUUUGUAUAUAAAAUAUUAAAUUGACUUAUUUGUUUAUAAUUUGGUAACAGAUAGAUAUUUGAAUAUUCAAUAUAUUUUGCUUCAGUUUAAGAAAUCUUUGAUGACCCGUCUUUAGAUCCAAUAAGCCCUAUAAUCUAGAUAUUAACCUGCAGUAUAUAUUUUAGUUAAACUAAAU
rnacentral:sRNA from 1 species